rnacentral:lncRNA from 1 species
UAUAAAAGAUACUGUUUUAUCUCAAACCAAAAAUAUCUGAUUUACAACAUAAAGAAGUUCUCCACUUAAGUAAUUAUAAUUAACAUUCUUUUAUUCCGUGCUCCAAGAGGUCACAUUUCAGUUUCUCAAUUAAUAGCUCUGCCACCGUGAAUUCCAAGGAAAAUAGUUUUAAUGUACGCUGUGCAGUGUUACUCUGAACAAAUAUUGAGACUUGAAAUCUUCGAAUGCUGAGAUUAUCAUUACGAGCAAAAUGCUGGAAACAUGCUCCUGAACCGUGGUAAG